GACGAACGCUGGCGGCGUGCCUAAUACAUGCAAGUAGAACGCUGAAGAGAGGAGCUUGCUCUUCUUGGAUGAGUUGCGAACGGGUGAGUAACGCGUAGGUAACCUGCCUUGUAGCGGGGGAUAACUAUUGGAAACGAUAGCUAAUACCGCAUAACAAUGGAUGACACAUGUCAUUUAUUUGAAAGGGGCAAUUGCUCCACUACAAGAUGGACCUGCGUUGUAUUAGCUAGUAGGUGAGGUAACGGCUCACCUAGGCGACGAUACAUAGCCGACCUGAGAGGGUGAUCGGCCACACUGGGACUGAGACACGGCCCAGACUCCUACGGGAGGCAGCAGUAGGGAAUCUUCGGCAAUGGGGGCAAACCUGACCGAGCAACGCCGCGUGAGUGAAGAAGGUUUUCGGAUCGUAAAGCUCUGUUGUAAGUCAAGAAAGAGUGUGAGAGUGGAAAGUUCACACUGUGACGGUAGCUUACCAGAAAGGGACGGCUAACUACGUG
rnacentral:rRNA from 1 species